rnacentral:misc_RNA from 1 species
GUGAAUCAUCGAAUCUUUGAACGCAAAUUGCACUCUCUUCGGAGAGUAUGCCUGUUUGAGGGUCAGCCUAAAAAAAAUCGACGUAGUCGCUGUUUCGCGGUGACAUUCGUCGGAAAUUGGGUCAUCUUAAACCUUUGGGUUUUUAAGCGGCUUAAAAUUUUCUUUUCGAAUCCACGAAAGGUUCUAAAGUUUUUCUUCUUUAAAACG